rnacentral:rRNA from 1 species
GAUGAACGCUGGCGGCGUGCCUAAUACAUGCAAGUAGAACGCUGAAGGAGGAGCUUGCUCUUCUGGAUGAGUUGCGAACGGGUGAGUAACGCGUAGGUAACCUGCCUGGUAGCGGGGGAUAACUAUUGGAAACGAUAGCUAAUACCGCAUGACAACAGUUAUUGCAUGAUAACUGUUUAAAAGGGGCAACUGCUCCACUACCAGAUGGACCUGCGUUGUAUUAGCUAGUUGGUGAGGUAACGGCUCACCAAGGCGACGAUACAUAGCCGACCUGAGAGGGUGUUCGGCCACACUGGGACUGGAACACGGCCCAGGAUCCUACGGGAGGCAGCAGUAGGGAAUCUUCGGCAAUGGACGGAAGUCUGACCGAGCAACGCCGCGUGAGUGAAGAAGGUUUUCGGAUCGUAAAGCUCUGUUGUAAGGGAAGAACGAGUGUGAGAGUGGAAAGUUCACACUGUGACGGUAUCUUACCAGAAAGGGACGGCUAACUACGUG